rnacentral:rRNA from 1 species
UACGUAGGGUGCAAGCGUUAAUCGGAAUUACUGGGCGUAAAGCGUGCGCAGGCGGUUGUGCAAGACAGAUGUGAAAUCCCCGGGCUCAACCUGGGAAUUGCAUUGUGACUGCACGGCUAGAGUGUGUCAGAGGGGGGUAGAAUUCCACGUGUAGCAGUGAAAUGCGUAGAGAUGUGGAGGAAUGACCGAUGGCGAAGGCAGCCCCCUGGGAUAACACUGACGCUCAUGCACGAAAGCGUGGGGAGCAAACAGG